ensembl:lncRNA
UACAGCACCACAGGGAGAGAGAGGGGGAGAGGGCAAACUCCACUGAACUAGUUUCAAAAGAGUUUUGGAAAAGAAAGUAGUUUCUCCUUGAAACCUGCAUCAGGAAACCAGGUGGUUCAACUGACUGCUUUCAAGCCCUCAGGCUGCUGAUGGAAUGUUUGGAAUUGGACACAAAGGCACAUUUAUCAUACAACCUGGUGGGAAGAAAGCGGAAUUGCACAGUGAAUACCACAAACAGAUACACACAAUAGAUGCAUCCUCUCUCAUACAAAUAUUGUAGAUGAUGUAAAUAGACACACACUCAAAAACUGCACGUAUAGAAUACACACACACACACACACACACACACACACACACACACACACACAUAUAUAUAUAUAUAUACACCCCACAUACAGAAUGAAAGACUCAAAGAUGUGCACACACACACACACACAGAGCGUGUGAAGCAGGAAGCGUUUUUUUUAGGGCGACAGCUCCUCCUCCACCACAGUGUCCCAUUCCCAGGGUCAGAAACCAUCUGCUGUUUAGGAAAUCGCUGUUCCAGAGAGGCAACACAACAUUUGUCGUGUGCAUACAGACCUCAGUUUCAUUCUCUUUUGCUGAGUGGCUUAUCACACCUUCAGUCUUUUUUUUACAGUCAUCUUUUUGUGUAUGUGUCGUUUUGGUUUUUACAGACAUAACUAGACAGUAGACGUUACGGUUUUUACAGACAUAACUAGACAGUAGACGUUACUGUUUUUACAGACGUAACUAGACAGUAGACGUUACGGUUUUUACAGACAUAACUAGACAGUAGACGUUACUGUUUUUACAGACAUAACUAAACAGUAGAUGUUACUGUUUUUACAGACAUAACUAGACAGUAGACGUUACUGUUUUUACAGACAUAACUAGACAGUAGACGUUACUGUUUUUACAGACAUAACUAAAUAGUAGACGUUACUGUUUUUACAGACGUAACUAGACAGUAGACGUUACUGUUUUUACAGACAUAACUAGACAGUAGACGUUACUGUUUUUACAGACAUAACUAGACAGUAGACGUUACUGUUUUUACAGACAUAACUAGACAGUAGACGUUACUGUUUUUACAGACAUAACUAGACAGUAGACGUUACUGUUUUUACAGACAUAACUAGACAGUAGACAUGACUGUUUUUACAGACAUAACUAGGCAGUAGACAUGACUGUUUUUACAGACAUAACUAGACAGUAGACAUUACUGUUUUUACAGACAUAACUAGACAGUAGACAUGACUGUUUUUACAGACAUAACUAGACAGUAGACUUUACUGUUUUUACAGACAUAACUAGACAGUAGAUGUUACUGUUUUUACAGACAUAACUAGACAGUAGACAUUACUGUUUUUACAGACAUAACUAGGCAGUAGACAUGACUGUUUUUACAGACAUAACUAGACAGUAGACAUGACUGUUUUUACAGACAUAACUAAACAGUAGACGUUACUGUUUUUACAGACAUAACUAGACAGUAGACAUGACUGUUUUUACAGACAUAACUAGACAGUAGACAUGACUGUUUUUACAGACAUAACUAGACAGUAGACAUGACUGUUUUUACAGACAUAACUAGACAGUAGACAUGACUGUUUUU